GACGAACGCUGGCGGCGUGCUUAACACAUGCAAGUCGAACGGAAAGGCCCUGCUUUUGUGGGGUGCUCGAGUGGCGAACGGGUGAGUAACACGUGAGUAACCUGCCCUUGACUUUGGGAUAACUUCCGGAAACUGGGGCUAAUACCGGAUAGGAGCUCCUGCUGCAUGGUGGGGGUUGGAAAGUUUCGGCGGUUGGGGAUGGACUCGCGGCUUAUCAGCUUGUUGGUGGGGUAGUGGCUUACCAAGGCUUUGACGGGUAGCCGGCCUGAGAGGGUGACCGGCCACAUUGGGACUGAGAUACGGCCCAGACUCCUACGGGGGGCAGCAGUGGGGAAUAUUGCACUAUGGGCGGAAGCCUGAUGCAGCAACGCCGCGUGCGGGAUGACGGCCUUCGGGUUGUAAACCGCUUUCGCCUGUGACGAAGCGUGAGUGACGGUAAUGGGUAAAGAAGCACCGGCUAACUACGUG
rnacentral:rRNA from 1 species